rnacentral:rRNA from 1 species
GAUGAACGCUGGCGGCGUGCUUAACACAUGCAAGUCGAGCGAUGAAGUUUCCUUCGGGAAACGGAUUAGCGGCGGACGGGUGAGUAACACGUGGGUAACCUGCCUCAUAGAGUGGAAUAGCCUUCCGAAAGGAAGAUUAAUACCGCAUAAUGCUGAAAGAUGGCAUCAUCAUUUAACCAAAGGAGCAAUCCGCUAUGAGAUGGACCCGCGGCGCAUUAGCUAGUUGGUGGGGUAACGGCCUACCAAGGCGACGAUGCGUAGCCGACCUGAGAGGGUGAUCGGCCACAUUGGGACUGAGACACGGCCCAGACUCCUACGGGAGGCAGCAGUGGGGAAUAUUGCACAAUGGGGGAAACCCUGAUGCAGCAACGCCGCGUGAGUGAUGAAGGUUUUCGGAUCGUAAAGCUCUG